AUGUAGCACGCGAGCGCUGCAAUCCCUGCGUGCCGGCCGCGCCCACCUGACGACUGCUCGCUACGUUUUGUUAGCC
rnacentral:sRNA from 1 species